CCAUUACCUAGAUGAUGACUGGCACAUAGUAGGUGCUCAAAAACCACUAGCGAAAUGAACACAUCCACAAAAAGAAUGAACAGACAAACUGAAGGAAGAAGCAUUGCCUCCAAGAUUGAAGCCUAUAUGAGUUGCAAGAAGUUCAGAGGCAAUAGAUGGAAGUGUCAACGCAAUGUGCCUUUGCCAGAAUUUCCAAAGGUCUGCCCAUUGGUUCUAUAUAGUUUCUUCAAGCAACUAAGUUUUGGGGAUCAGCCUUCAUAUUGUUGGUGGUGGUGGUGAUGAUAUCAUCAUCAUCAUUAUUUUUUAAAAUCAGGUCAACAUAACUGACAGCUCAGGUACAGGGGGAAAUCCCCAGUGUCCAAUAGCAUUAUGAGGCCAUUUCCUUACCAAAUGCUAUGGUGGGCUGUCUCUUAAAAGCUCAAUUCAUAUCAAUACAUUCCGGACGGAUCA